AUCUACCUGACGAAUCCCAAACAGGACGGAACGCACGUCAAACUGGAU
rfam:Schistosoma mattheei strain Denwood, Zambia genome assembly, scaffold: SMTD_scaffold0005104